rnacentral:rRNA from 1 species
GAUUGCGUCGACGCGGAUCCCGAAAAAGGGCGUCGAUCCGUCGCGACAGCGGGACGGUGGUCAUGGAAGUCGAAAAUCCGCUAAGAAGCGUGUAAAAACGUACCCGCCCAACGGAUCGGCCCCGAAAAUUGAUGGCGCUCGAACGCAACCCUCGAACCCCGCCGACGGAGGCUAGGGGAGGCCCCGUCGAGUAGGCGGACGCGCGGGUCGCUUCGACGCUCUCGCGCGAGCGGGGGCGGAGCGGCCCGUGGUGCAGAUCUUGGUGGUAGUAGCGAUCACCCAGGCGAGAACCCUGAGGGCCGAAGUGGAGAAGGGUUUCUCGAGAACGGCACUCGCUCGAGAGUUAGUCGAUCCUAAGCUGCCGGCGGCAGCCACGAAACGGUCGAUCGGGCGCGAGCCCGGCAGCCACGACCGGGCAGCGAAAGGA